rnacentral:rRNA from 1 species
GUAAGGAAUAUUGGACAAUGGACGCAAGUCUGAUCCAGCCAUGCCGCGUGAAGGAUUAAGGUCCUCUGGAUUGUAAACUUCUUUUAUAAGGGACGAAAAAAGGCUUUUCUAAGUCGUCUGACGGUACCUUAUGAAUAAGCACCGGCUAACUCCGUGCCAGCAGCCGCGGUAAUACGGAGGGUGCAAGCGUUAUCCGGAUUCACUGGGUUUAAAGGGUGCGUAGGCGGGCAGGUAAGUCAGUGGUGAAAUCCUAGAGCUUAACUCUAGAACUGCCAUUAGUACUAUCGGUCUUGAAUAUUGUGGAGGUAAGCGGAAUAUGUCAUGUAGCGGUGAAAUGCUUAGAUAUGACAUAGAACACCUAUUGCGAAGGCAGCUUACUACGCAUAUAUUGACGCUGAGGCACGAAAGCGUGGGGAUCAAACAGGAUUAGAAACCCCGGUAGUCC